rnacentral:tRNA from 1 species
GUGUUUGUGGCUUAGAGGUAGAGCACUUGCCUAGCAUGUAUGAGGCACUGGGUUCAAUUCUCAGCACUCAUA